CAAUUAGACGUAUCCAAUACUAUAUCAAUUGUUGGCCGGCUUUCUAUACUUUCAAACUCUGCAAUUAAAACUUGAAGUAUUAAAUUCCACAUCUAUUAUUUCGAAAUCAAGCUUCAUGUUUUAGGAUGAGAGAUUUAUAUAAAUAGCGUGCCAGAACCACAUUUAUUCCCAUUCGUUUUCUCCAACUUAUCGCAUUCUCUGGUAACUCGCGUAACUGAUAUGAAAAAAAUGAAGAUUCUGCUGUUGAUCUGUCUGAUUUACGUCACUGAAUUUUCUUCGGUAACGAGUCAACAGAUGUGUCCUGAAUCAACACUGAGAAGAAAUGGAGAGUGCUAUAAUGAUUGUAUUAUACGUAGAAAUCACUUGUGUGUAAGAAUUCCACCUUGCAUCUGUCCGAGGCUUGUUCCCAACGAAGAAUUAGUGAAGGGAGCACGGUAAAUGAAUUCAAGAAUUCCUCGCUUUAUCAACUUUUUGUUCGCAUUCGUCUUCCUAUUGUUGUACUCUGCAGUCGAGUUCUAUCUUUUCUCUACUUUAAUUUAAAUUUUAAUUUAAUGUUUCGUUUCUGUAAUUUUUUAAAAUAUAUUCCUUGCCCAAGGGCAUGGCCAACUGCAACAGUUACUAUUAAAUAAAUAAAUGAAAUUUCCUGUUUAAAGUUGAUUCCUGUGGCAGACAUCAUCUCUACAAUAAUUUAAUCUCCGCAUUCAAAUUUGAAACGAGACAUUUAACCAAAUAUUUCGUAUUAAUCUUUUAUAUUGUAUUUCAAACUCAACGAUAUGUUAUUCGUCUGUUAUAUCAGAAAUAAUUCGGAUGCUUUAGUACAACAGACUAGCAUAAAUACAGCGAGAUAAAGUAACGUGUUGGCAGUCUUUCGUCUCAUUUAAAAUAAUGUAUCCGUUCCUAUUGUUUUACUCGUAGUGUUUCCUCCGUAAUCGGUUUAGAAAUGAAUUCUCCCGAAGAAGGGAAAAAGGAUACUCCGCGUAUCUGCUCCAGACCAAAGAAUUUGACGAAUGAAGUCGUUUGAUUUAUUUAUUAAAUUGAGUUCUUGAUUGUUGUUUAUUUAAUUACACUCUGUGGGAACAGAACGUGUACAAAAAUUUCCGAGUUCUUACUCACUGGGAUUUGAUCAGAAUUCGCCCACACUGGAUAUGAUAACAAUUGAGAUGGCUUUUACCGAAUUCUGCCUAUGGAUUUACAUAAUACUAUAUUUUUCAGUACGACAAAGAAAAAAA